rnacentral:rRNA from 1 species
UACAGAGGUCUCAAGCGUUGUUCGGAUUCAUUGGGCGUAAAGGGUGCGUAGGCGGCGCGGUAAGUCGGAUGUGAAAUCUUGGAGCUUAACUCCGAAACUGCAUUCGAUACUGCCGUGCUUGAGGACUGGAGAGGAGACUGGAAUUUACGGUGUAGCGGUGAAAUGCGUAGAUAUCGUAAGGAAGACCAGUGGCGAAGGCGGGUCUCUGGACAGUUCCUGACGCUGAGACACGAAGGCCAGGGGAGCAAACGGG